UCUGGUUGUGGGAAGCAGGGUGGCGAGGCUGGCGCUGAAGUCCCAGACUUGGUCUUCCCUGGCCGGGCUCCAGCGCCGUCUGCUCCGCAAAGGCAUCUAUGCCGAGCGUGUCGGGGCCAGAGCGCAGGUGUACCUGGCGGCCGUGCUGGAGCACCUGACCGCCGAGAUCCUGGAGCUGGCUGGCAACCCGGCCCGCGACAAGAAGACCCGCAUCAUCCUGCGCCACCUGUAGCUGGCCAUUCGCAACGGCGAGGAGCUUAACAAGCUGCUGGGCGAAGUCACCAUCGCGCAGGGCGGUGUCCUGCCCAACAUUCAGGGCGUGCUUCUGCCCCAGAAGACCAAGAGCCACCACAAGGCCAAGGGCAAGUAA
rnacentral:lncRNA from 1 species